ACAAAUUUUCAUUAAAACAGGAUUGAAUUAAUUUGCAUAUAACAGUUAAACUUUUAAUAGACACAUAUCAAUUAUAUUAGAAUAUAUUUUUGUUAAAUUACGAUUCAAAUAACGCAUAUUUUCGUAUUCGAUAUGCAUACUCGAGAAAUGUACGAAAUUAAUAAAUUAUCCUCACACAAUGUUUAACAAGUUUCACAAAAUAAGUCGCGAGGCCACAACACAACGGGCUCGAUAAUAAUUCAUCUAAAGUGAUUUGGGAUACGUACCUGUUCACAAAAUGCCCAUCGCACAUUUAUUUCGAUACGUUAAAUAUUUCAUAUCGCGCGCGCGCGUGUGUGUGUGUAGGGGGGAAGGGGGCACGCGGUGCCCGGCUCGCCCAUUGUUUACGCCAACACAAGAGCGCCCCCUCGUCAUUCCGUCGGUGAGACGCGAGCCGCGAGCCAGCGAACGGCAGCCGAUCCGCACGUAUAUCGCAAUAUCAUCCCUUUAAGCACAAUCGUUCCCCGCAAUCGACGAUCUAUUAUCGGUUUAUUGUACCAACGGCGUACCAGCUCUACCGACUUGUUUCGAGGCGACGACGGCGCAGCAGACGCGACGAGUUUAUGCGAGCAGGUACAUCGCCCGAAAUAGGAAUCCAUCUGAUUGAAAUAAGAAACUUGGGAUAAAGAACGUUGCUACUUCGUACUUGUAAGCAAUAAUUAUUUCGUCAACGGCGUCGUACGCAAUGCUCGCGGCGUAUAACCUAACCUAUAUCGCGGGGGGGAGAGGGAUCACCUUCUUUACACUCGCGUACGCGUCUCGAGCCGGCACGGCAGGCAGACGUCCGAAAUCACGAUUACUGAAAUGACGAUUCGGAUUUUCUAUCGAUCGACAGCCCACUCGUCAACAAUGCACACGUGUGUGCUAUGUAAGAUCACACUCGAAAAACACGGUACGCCACGUGAACUACGUACUCAAACAUUAAUUCGGUAACUGCGCGAUUGUCGCGCGGCACCGGGCUGAAGUUGCCGACAGUACCUUCCGAGUACUUCGUCCAGUAACGGGAAUGUCGCGGAUCGCGUUUGCGUCGGUUAGUGUCGCGACGCGUUUAAUUAGUGAGUACAGCCGCGACCGCUCCGAUAAUUGAAGUCCUGUUAACACUGGCGUUCGUUUGUAACGUAAAUUCGACGCUCCUUGAUUCGAGGAAACGUUUAACGUCUACGCCGAGAACCGUUUGAUUCGAUCCGUCCCAAAGGUCGUAUUUCCGAUUGUUGCAUUCUGCAGUUAAUCUUCUUAAUUCUGCAGUUCGUCUUCACUCUUGGCACGUUCAUCCUUGACUGUUUAUCGUAAUGCUAUUACAUAUACAAUCCAAGAUUGCACUUGCCCUAAAUAGCGAGCGUUGUGUUAUUUAUUACUUGCAGCGUGAAAAGUGCGGUUAGGAGCAACAGGUACACGGCGGCGGCGCGGCGAAUGACGGAGUGAAAUUGGCCGCAUGACUUUUGGAAUUCUCUCCACCGGUCGAAGGAUUCGUCGAUUUACGUUAAUUCGCGAACGAGUCACUCUCACGCGACGAUAAAUGCGUAUCGCGUACAGUUAAUAUCGGGAGUGCCGUGUCCAAAGUAUGUAUCGCGCGACGAUGAAUUUUGUGCUCGCGAGUGCAUUUGUGUGAGUGCAACGUACGGAGGAAGUCUGGGAGGAGGAGGAGGCGGCCUGGGAGGCACCGGGCGACGGCGGAGCAACCAGGAGUUCAACAUGGAUUAUACAGUUCAACAUGGAUAUAAAGUACUCCGCUGUUGCGCAUCUUAUUGAUGAAUAGUCAACGUAAUCUACAAGUUCGCUAUUGUGCAUCGACUGAUAUAAAUCAACCAUUGGAAGCGAUAGGCGGUAUCGUAUUAACCAACGAACAAUUUGCAUCCCGAAGAGAAAAACCUGCGGCCAAAGAUAUCUCCGGGGAGAGCCACAAAUUCGAAGCUACACGGAUCGAAGAGCGCGGGAGUCCACAAAUCCACGCUUAAUCUCAUUCGAUUGGGGACUGACGCAAGUAUGUCUCGUACGCAGUAACGUGUAUAUCGAUCGGUCGAAAAUACUUAUGACGACAGCGUGCACACGCGUUUACAAUCUGGCGUCCCGCUUGCGCGAUACCGGUAUUCGUUUUUUGUGCGUUAUACGCCGUCGGUUCGCCCGCCUCAGGUAGGCAGGGUCGCCGGUGCAUUUUUGUUUCUGUAAAUUGUGAGAGAGCCCCGGAUCCCAGGUUUCACGUCGUAGCCGCGCGCGGGUAUUGGGAAACGCCGAUCGAAAAGUACGGCCCUUACGGGAGAGAGUCUCGACACACUAGUGGUAAAUCUUGGGGACUUUUUAGCUCUCGGCCAACUAUAUAAUGUACAAUGAAGGGAGGAAUUGUUAAUUCGUUACUGGACAUCGUGUU
rnacentral:lncRNA from 1 species